rnacentral:rRNA from 1 species
AUUCCCUACGGGACGCAGCAGUGAGGAAUAUUGGUCAAUGGUCGGGAGACUGAACCAGCCAAGCCGCGUGAGGGAUGAAGGUACAGAGUAUCGUAAACCUCUUUUGUCAGGGAACAAAGGCGGGGACUAGUCCCCGGAUGAGGGUACCUGAAGAAAAAGCAUCGGCUAACUCCGUGCCAGCAGCCGCGGUAAUACGGAGGAUGCGAGCGUUAUCCGGAUUUAUUGGGUUUAAAGGGUGCGCAGGCGGCCUGUUAAGUCAGCGGUAAAAGCCCGGGGCUCAACCCCGGCGAGCCGUUGAA